CUAGACUGAGGUGUCUUGCUAAAAUCUGACAAUGGCAGUCUUUUUUCAACCAUGGAGAAAAAUACAGCCAUGGGACGAAUUUCUGCCACGGGGACAUGAACAGAAGUGACAUGUGUCAUCAUCCAGGCCUGGAUCCCUGAGUCACUGUAUGGAGGAAAACUACCCAUUGACCAAUAACAACUUCAUUGGACUAAAUGUGCUUCUAAACACUAAGAGAACGGGUCAAGGGCAGAGGAUUUCUGUGGGAUCUGUGCUCACUCAUAGUCAUGGUAGAGGAAGCUGAAUCCCAGAGCAAAGGACACCAGGAAGAGGAGAGGGUUUCUCUGGAAACAGCAGGGUAGGUGCAGGCUGACGUGCUUAUUGACAUGGCAACCUGAACACACCUGGAGACACCUGCUCCACCACCCAGAUGGCCAUGAAUGGAGCAAGUUCUUCCCACUGUUGCUCUCUUCUCUUUUCUGCAAAGUUACACAAGGGUCAAGUCCCAUCAAGGGUCCCAUCUCCAUCUUUUCUCAAGAUGAAGCUGGAAGUCAUCUUGCCACUGGGACCCACCCUUUGGAAAGACCUCUGCCCAGACAAGGGAAGUGCUGCCUCAAUUGCAUGAUUUGAGUGACUUUGGGAGGGUAUUCCUGUCCCCAAAUAGACCUCCUCUCCUGACAUGUCACA